CACGUAGGGGGCGAGCGUUGUCCGGAUUUAUUGGGCGUAAAGAGCUCGUAGGCGGCUCAGUAAGUCGGGUGUGAAAACUCCAGGCUCAACCUGGAGACGCCACCCGAUACUGCUGUGGCUAGAGUCCGGUAGGGGAGCAUGGAAUUCCUGGUGUAGCGGUGAAAUGCGCAGAUAUCAGGAAGAACACCUAUGGCGAAGGCAGCUCUCUGGGACGGUACUGACGCUGAGACGCGAAAGCGUGGGGAGCGAACAGG
rnacentral:rRNA from 1 species